CUGCUCAAGGAAACUGGAAUAGCUCUUCCUUCCUUGGGACAGCAAAACCUUUAAAAGAAGGUACCUCUUAAGUUUAAAAGUUUAUUUUGUGGGACAGCACAGGAGAACUUUGCUAGAUAUUGCUGACCUUCACACAACCCUGCAUCGAUACUCUGUUCUCACGAACAUUAAUACAACCACAAGUUUUAAGCUUCUUCUCAGCUUUAUCCUUUCUCACCUCUCAUGGAUGAGCUCCAUUUAGGCUAUAGCCAACAGCAUCUCCUUCCAGAUUCAUUCACUGGAGAUAAUGGUGGGUCUUUCUGUGCCUAAGGGCAAGAGAUCAACUGUCUGCUUUCUCCUCUUUAAAGUAUAAACUAUUUGUGAAGAUUCUUAUUAAAUCAUAAUGAUUAUUUUUUAUAUUCUUAGUCCUUAUUUUUAUGGCAAUCUUCAAGGAACUGAGAAAAUGAGAACAUGGCAUAUGACAAGGAGUUUAAACUGCCUUCAAAGAGCUGUCAAUAAACCAGUCGACUCAAGUGUACAGUGUAAAUCAGCCUGUAAGAAUUCCUAAAGAUUGAUCUUUCUCUCCUGCUCUUGUCUUAGAAGAGAUGGUGGUUGUACCAAGAGACACAAAGGAUUCUGAGCACCUGUGUCAAGCAUAGGGGAAACAAAACUCACUCCCAGAUGGGCCCUAUGAAUUCUGCAAGACAAAAAACUAUUGCUAUCCCAAAGGCCCUUUGUUGGGCACACCAUCAAUGACUCAUCAAAUGUUCAGUGUGGAAACAUGCAAACAGAUAUUGAUAAGGCAUGCCAAGUAAUAGAAUAACAAAGUAAUUUUUUCUUAUUCAUAAUAACCCAUUAAUUACCUCUUAAUACAAGUAAGACAGGAAUUAUCCAAGCAUCCUAAUCAUCUGAGUUUCAUAUAGUAGUUUCCCCUCUAAAGAUUUUCUUCCUAGUGGGUCUGUUCUCAUGGGUUGUUAUAAAACCACAUCUACUGCCUUUCAUAGCCCUUCUGCUUCCACUCAUUUUUAUAGCCUUGUCCCCAGAUGUCUCUUCUGAGAAUGUGAGUAGACAAAAUGAAGCUACAAUAAAGCCAACAAGACUUUUUGCUUCCUAUGAAAAACAAAGAAUAACAACAGAUGUAGAGGAUCCCUCUUGCUUCUCUGCAGAAUAAAACUAACAGACAUGAAGUUGGAUGAGGGACUGCUCUCCUCAGUUCCUCUUAAGAAAAUGAAAUACACAGAACAU